AACGAACGCUGGCGGCAUGCCUAACACAUGCAAGUCGAACGAGACCUUCGGGUCUAGUGGCGCACGGGUGCGUACCGCGUGGGAACCUGCCCUUAGGUUCGGAAUAACUCCCCGAAAGGGGUGCUAAUACCGGAUAAUGUCUUCGGACCAAAGAUUUAUCGCCUUUGGAUGGGCCCGCGUUGGAUUAGCUAGUUGGUAGGGUAAAAGCCUACCAAGGCGACGAUCCAUAGCUGGUCUGAGAGGAUGAUCAGCCACACUGGGACUGCGACACGGCCCAGACUCCUACGCAAGGCAGCAGUAGGGAAUAUUGGACGCUGGGCGAAAGCCUGAUCCAGCAGUGUCGCGUGAGUGGUGAAGGCCUUAGGGUUGUAAAGCUCUUUUACCCGGGAUGAUAAUGACAGUACCGGGAGAAUAAGCACCGGCUAACUCCGUG
rnacentral:rRNA from 1 species